CGAACGGGUGAGUAAUGCGUGACCAACCUGCCCCAUGCUCCAGAAUAGCUCUUGGAAACGGGUGGUAAUGCUGGAUGCUCCAACUUGACGCAUGUCUUGUUGGGAAAGUGUUUAGUGGCAUGGGAUGGGGUCGCGUCCUAUCAGCUUGUAGGCGGGGUAAUGGCCCACCUAGGCUUCGACGGGUAGCCGGCCUGAGAGGGCGGACGGCCACAUUGGGACUAAGAUACGGCCCAGACUCCUACGGGAGGCAGCAGGC
rnacentral:rRNA from 1 species